rnacentral:rRNA from 1 species
AUGGAAAAGAUUCAGCGCAACUUCCUUUGGAAUGGUGAUGAGGAGUGCAGUGGGGCCAAGUGCCUUGUUAGCUGGAAGAGGGUCUGCUCCCCAAAGGAUGUGGGCGGCCUUGGAAUCAAAGACAUUGCUUGCUUCAGCAGGGCGUUGCGGCUGCGUUGGGCUUGGCUAGAGUGGAGCCUCACUUCUAGGCCUUGGCAGGGCUCCCCCAUCCCAUGCGAUUGCACGGACAGGCUGCUUUUCUCUGCUUGCACGGAGAUUACACUGGGGAAUGGGCAGCGCAUAAGCUUCUGGAAUGAUCGUUGGCUGUUGGGCAUGGCCCCUGUGGAUGUAGCCCAUGGUCUGUUUGGUCUGGCACGACGGAAGAAGUUAACUGUGAAGGAAGCGCUUGCUGGUAAUCGAUGGAUGAAGGGCCUGGAAAGAAUUGCUUCUGAAGAUUUGCUGGAUCAACUUGUCAAGUUAUGGGAACUGCUGCAACCCAUUGUCCUCACAAAUGUUCCUGACACCAUCCGAUGGAAGCUCACUAAUGACGGAGGUUAUUCCGCUGCGUCUGCUUACAAUGCUCAGUUUGUUGGCCGGAUCGCUCAGCCAGAGUUGCACGCCUCAUGGAGGAUUAAGGCCGAGCCGAAGGUGAAGUUCCAUCUGUGGCUAUUGAUCCAGAAUAGGACCUGGACGGCUGAUCGUCUUGCGACAAGGGGUUGGCCACACAAAGACAAAUGUACUUUCUGUGAUCAGGUUCUGGAGUCGGCUGCCCAUAUUACGCUCUCUUGCCCUUUUGCCCGAGAGGUCUGGUUCUCCUUCCAGCAGAGCGACCCAGAGGCUGCUGUUGUUGGUUCAACUUCGAUGACAAUCAAAGGCUGGUGGAAACGGACCUGGAACCUGCACAACAACCCGAUUUUUCGCAUGCAAAUCACAUCGGCUGCUUAUGUUGCUUGGAAUCUUUGGAAAGAAAGGAAUAGGCGAACUUUUGAAGGAAAGAGAUGCUCACCCUGA